UACGUAGGGGGCAAGCGUUGUCCGGAAUCAUUGGGCGUAAAGAGCGUGUAGGCGGCCCGAUAAGUCCGCCGUGAAAGUCCAGGGCUCAACCCUGGAAUGCCGGUGGAAACUGUCGGGCUGGAGUCCGGAAGAGGCGAGUGGAAUUCCUGGUGUAGCGGUGAAAUGCGCAGAUAUCAGGAAGAACACCUAUGGCGAAGGCAGCACUCUGGGACGGUACUGACGCUGAGACGCGAAAGCGUGGGGAGCGAACAGG
rnacentral:rRNA from 1 species